rnacentral:lncRNA from 1 species
ACAUGAUUCUAUAAUAUUGACUGUUUUCUUACAUGAUUCUAUAAUAUUGACUGUUUGUUUACAUGAUUCUAUAAUAUUGCCUGUUUGAUUACCUGAUUCUCUAAUAUUGACUGUUUGCUUACAUGAUUCUAUAAUAUUGACUGUUUGCUUACAUGAUUCUAUAAUAUUGACUGUUUGCUUACAUGAUACUAUAAUAUUUACUGUUUUCUUACAUGAUUCUAUUACCACCUAUAAUUAUGGAGUUCCAAGAGUGGAUGGCGUCACCUGAUGGCAGCAAAAAGGAUGAAAAAACGGUUUUGCAACAUGGUUUUCAGCUUUAUAUCAUGCUAAAAGCCAUUAAUGAUUUAGAGAACAUUCAGUCCCGGUUUGACCUGAAGUUAAUACGUCAAGCAUUUUUAAGUGUGCAUGCAUGUGAAACAGAAAAAGUAUGAAGCUGGCACAAUCAAGUCGUAUUUGAUGAGUAUUCAUUUGUCCUGUCCGACAAACGAGAUACAAUUUAAUUCGGUUGGGUAGACGUAAGCUCAGCGCGAGAAAAAGUAAAGAUGUGGUCUGCAUCAUACAGGAGAGAAUCAAGCACAAGGAAAUGGCAAAAGCUUGAAGAAGAUAUGCUGAAUCGUUUGACACCAUCAAACAUCAGGAAGUUGGAGAAAAGCGCAGCAGCUCGAUAGGCGGCUAAGAUCAUUGGCCAAUACUCCGAUUCAGCUGAGUCCACGCCUGUCACUCUAUCCAGUUUUACCUUGGUUAGGGAUUUCCUGUUCACUCAAAUCUUUAUAGACAAUGCCAAUCGACCAGGUGUCCUAGCACAUAAUGACGAUGGAGGAAUUUACAAACAUCCGAAAGCAAGAUGACUAUUACCUCAUAACAGUGAAGAAGCACAAAACUGCACAUGUUCAUGGACCAGCUCGUGUUGUAUUGAGUGAAAAACUGAAGGCGUGGCUGUCAAUAUUCGUUGGCAUAAUGCGAGCCCAUGUUACCACCCGAAUGAAUGGCCCAGUAUUCAUAUCCUGGAACGGAAACCCUAUGAAUUCUGUGCACAUCACUAAGGCAGUACAAUCUGUCUUUAAAAAAGCUGGAGUGGAUGUUAAAGUAACAUCGACAUCGUUUCGGAAAGCAGCAGUGACGAAAGUUAAUGUCGAUAAGCCAGAGAUGAGUGCGAAAUUGGCUAGCCUUAUGGCUCACAACGAAGCGACGGCAAAGAGAUAUUAUCUCCUGACAGAGAAAUCCAAAACUUCCAUAGAGGCUUCACGAAAUCUUGGUCGCCUGAUGCGAACUGAUGACGGGUGUGGAGAUAACAUUGAGACUCCUUCAUAUGACAGUUCAUUAAGCUACGUUAAAUACGAGAAAUACAACGGGUCAAAGACAAGAUUCUCCCCACGGAUUCUGCGUAGAAGGAUCGACUUGCUUUUUCCGGACAAAGAAGUCUAUUAAUGAAGUGAAUAUUUAUGGAAGACGAAAUCCGAAUUGCGAUUCUCUAAUGAAUACAUUUGUCAUUGGAAUAUGGGUCCCCAGAGGGGCAUAAAAUUUUCUAGUCCACAGGAUGACUGGCAAACAGGUAUUAAU